GUUUCUGUACAUAUUUGUGAAUAUAUUUCCAAGAUAUUUUCCAAAAAAUGUCGUGACAUUGUUAAUUUUUUAUAUUUAUUGCAAUAAAAUAUUAUUGAUUCUCAUGUGAUAAUUAGUGGAAAGCAGUAGUAAGUCAAGGAUGCACUCGAAGAAAGUCGUAUAUAAUGGAAUUGCAGUUCAUGUUCUCAUCAGUUCUGUUGGCUAAUCCAUUUGUCAGAUAUUGGCGGCUCUCUAAAAUGGCACAAAUAGAUUGCGAAAAUGUUGACAUGGGGAAAGAUAUUAGGAAAAAAUAUCGUAAUGGAAAUAAUUCAGAUCAUCGUGGAAAAUUAGAAUAAAUAAAUAAUAUGUUCUACGACAUUUUUGAUGAUCCGAAAUGAAUAAAAAAAAAAAAAAAACCAGAGAUCCGGAUAACUUCAAAUGUUCAAAAUGGAAAUUACGUACAAUAAAAAUAAUAUCAACAAGAAAAGGACGUCCCGAAUAGAAGAAUUCCGCACGUGUGAGAAAAAACAUCACGGGAAAGACGACUACAAAACAAACCAAUUAUACCUGCAUGGAAAAUCUUGACGAACUUUCUUUGCGAUUCCUGAUAAUCAGGAGAGUGACGACAUAAGAAAACUUCAAAUUGAUUCUGUCGUCGAUGGAUGCUAGUAUCACGUACUUCAAGAUAAGGGCGAAAGUGAAAGACACAGAUUUCUCCAGUUUCAGACUUUUUAGAACUCGGUCUAUUUUUACGGUUAUUUUUCACAUUUUUUGAAUGGAAAUUUAAUUUGAAAAUAGGGAUCUCCGAGGGCUAUUUAGUUUGAAAGCAUCACCUUGAAGUUGAAAAUUCGUCAUUAAGGUCAUUUCCACGUAUAACAACAUUGUAAGACAGAAAGGAUAUUAUAUGGAAAAUAGCGGAUCCUUGCUGCCAAAGAUUUCAAAGACUAUUUUCUUCUGCGUGAGAUUCAUCAAACGACGAUGUAGUGCGAUAUUUGACAAGCCGUUACAUUAGAGAAUCUAAAGUUCCAUCAGUGGUGAACAGAUUUAGGAGUGCUCGAAUUUUUUUUUAUUUUACUAAUUAUUUUUUUUUGUCGUGAGUGUUCGAAAUUUUUUAAAUCGCGAUCGCUGAAAUAUUAAAAAAAGUAUUUUGUUUAUAUUAUAUAAAGUUCGGGAGUGAGCGAAAUUUUUUAAAUCGCGAGUGUUUCUACCAGAUCUUCUCAUACGAAAUAUCUUCAAAUCUUCUUGGUUGCAGACUAUAAGCAUCACAUGGAAUUGAAGAAAAAGAAAAGGAAUGCUGAUAAUAAGUGACUUUAAUAUGAAGAGUAAAGGAAUCUCUGGAGAAUGGUCCAAAGGGGUUGCUUGGUCAAUCGUCGAGGGAAUUCGCGACCGGUGA